UUACACACCUGAUUCUACUAAUCAAGGUCCUUAGUAAAGACUCCAAAGGUUGAUUAGUAUAAUCAGGUGUGUAACUGCUUGGUUGGAACAAAAGCCUGCACCCACACCGGCCCUUUCUGGCCCGAGUUGAGAACCACUGCAGUAGAGGCUUGGACCUGGAAACAGUAUUAUCGGAGGGUCCAUACGUCACGGCUUAACAAGCGAAUUGAAUGCGGUUUCAUUUUACCUUUGUGAAACUUUUAAAAUUAGUGCCAAAAACGCUGUAUUAGUUGACCAUAAAUUGUUUUUAUAACUUGAUGGUUACAAGAUUAGGAAGAAAAUACUAUGAUAACAGUAGUGUAUUCAGCUAAUGGGGUUCACGUGUACAUUAAUAAUUAUAUUUAUCUAUUCAUAGUGAUGAAUAUUGAACAUUUUUAAAACAUAUAGAUGUUCAUGGACCAAAGAACAUGUCAGGUGAGGUAAAGUGCACCACAAAAAUGCUGUUUCUUGUGUUUGCAGAUUAGAUGAAUGUUUGCAAAUCAGAUAAGUUCAUCAUAUGAAAAGGGUUUGGCAAUGAAUCCCUUGCAGUAGACUCCCAGCCUCCCAGUGGUUUCACCAUAUUUAUUGGUGAAUAGAGCCCAGUAAUUGCCUUAGACUUUUGUGAAUUAGUCAGAAUACUUAAUGAACUUAAUUUACACACCCCCUCUCUGUUUUUGUGUGUACAUCUCAGGAAUGCGUAGGUGCAUAUAUAUCAACUGCCAAGGAACACAGUGUCACAGCUGUGAAUUUGUGUGUGUGUGUGUGUGUGUGUGUGUGCGUGUGUACAUGUGCGUGUGUGCGUGUGUUUGUGUGUGUGUGGUCUCUCCACAGGCUGGGAUGGUGUAAUCUCACAGAGGGCUGCUGUGAUGUUCUGGCCUCAGUCCUGCGUUCUCCCCACUCAGAGCUGAGAGAUCUGGAGCUCAGAGACAACGAGCUGCAGGAUUCAGGAGUGACAGCGCUCUCUGCUGGACUGGAGGACCCACACUGUAAACUGCAGAGACUGGGGCUGUCAGGCUGUAGAGUCACACAGAGAGGCUGUGAUUCUCUGGCUUCAGCUCUGUGUUCAAACCCCUCACACCUGAGAGAGCUGGACCUGAGAUACAAUCACCCAGGAGACUCAGGAGUGAGAGCGCUGUCUGCUGCUAAACUGGACACACUCACACUGCUUGUGGACCAUGGAGGAGAGAACAGGACCAAAGCAGGACCCAGGAAAUACGGCUGUCAGCACACACUGGAUCCAAACACAGCGCACAGAGAACUGUAUCUGUCUAAGGGGAACAGGAAGGUGACACACACUUGGGAGAGAGAGG